rnacentral:rRNA from 1 species
UACGUAGGUACCGAGCGUUAUCCGGAUUUACUGGGCGUAAAGCGUGUUCAGGCGGUUUGGCAAGUCGGGCAUGAAAUCCCUCGGCUCAACCGGGGGAGGUUGUCCGAUACUGCUGAACUGGAGGGCAGUAGAGGGUGGUGGAAUUCCGGGUGUAGUGGUGAAAUGCGUAGAGAUCCGGAGGAACACCAGUGGCGAAAGCGGCCACCUGGACUGCACCUGACGCUCAAACACGAAAGCUAGGGGAGCGAACGGG